CUUAAAAAACAGUAGCUUAAAUAGUCUUAGCAUUGGCAUUACCCUCGAAAGUUCGAUAUUUUAAUAUUAAGAAGGUAUUACAUGUAACGUGAGUAACAAAGUAAUUUAUUCUUUCCACUGGGGAUACAGUACAUUCACCGUUCAUUCCAGGAUAGCAGGUGUUAGCUCAUGUGUAUAAAAUUGUGAUGAAUACAUCUUCUGUUAUUAAUUGAAAAGCGUCCUGAUAUACUGUAUGCACACCAUUAAAGGUGCAUAAGAUUCCUUCUGAUUCCAUACAGCUUUUGCUCCUGAUCUGGAAUAUUUAAUUGGUCACUGACAGAUAGAAAUCUUAUUUAUUCA